GAUGAAGAACGUAGUGAAAUGCGAUAAGUAAUGUGAAUUGCAGAAUUCAGUGAAUCAUCGAAUCUUUGAACGCACCUUGCGCCCUUUGGCCAUUCCGAAGGGCAUGCCUGUUUGAGUAUCAUGAACACCUCAACUCUCAUGGCUCGCCAUGAUGAGCUUGGACUUUGGGGGUCUUGCUGGCCUGUGGUCGGCUCCUCUCAAAUGGAUCAGCUUGCCAGUGUUUGGUGGCAUCACAGGUGUGAUAACUAUCUGCGCUUGUGGUUUUCCAUCAGAUAACCUUCAGUGAUGGAGGUUCGCUGGAGCUCAUAAACGUCUCCCCUAAGCGGGGACAGCCCUUUGGAUGUUUGAUCUCAAAUCAGGUAGGACUACCCGCUGAACUUAAGCAUAUCAAUAAGCGGAGGA
rnacentral:misc_RNA from 1 species